UUUGAAUGUCUCCAGAGAUGGAGUCUCCACCACCUUUCUGGGCAGUCUGCUCCAGUGCUCUGCUGCUCUCAAAGUAAAGAAAUUCCUCUUGUUGAGAUGGAAAUUGGGAAAGAAAGUUUCUUACUAGAGACAUUUCAUGUGGUGAAAUUAUACAAAGAUAAAACAUGGUGCCUACAUGAAAUGGAUGGCCUUCCAGUGGCAAUGUUGAAUAAAUCAUUUGGGAAAAAUCCCUAGCCAGGACUAGGGGAUGUUGCUUUUGCAGUGUUUUUUUGGUAUCAUUUUUAUUGGUAUGGAUUUGCUAGCUCUGGGAUUAAUGUUACAGAGAAAAUUUUUCAAAUUUAAAGAGAUUUUUUAAAAAAUGGCUAUGAAUAUAUCAAAAUGGACUGCUCUUUAAAGAGGCCCUCUGUUGAGAACUCUUAAUUUUUUAAUAAUAGUCUACAAAUGCCAAAUUGGAGAGCAAAUCUUACAAAAAAUAACUGUUUAAACUAGCUUCAGCUUUCACACUUGAUAGCAAGCAAAAAUGAGCCAUAGAUGUUAAAGGUCAAAAUGCAUGUUAAUAGUGAGUUUCAUUACCUGCAGUACAAAUUUAACUGGAAAAUUCAUCUUUUCUAACUACCCCUAGACUGGAUGAUUCUGCUCCAACCGUUGCCUAGAGCCAAAGAUUCUUUGCAUGUAGUAGGGAAGUUUGAUUUGAUAGCAAUAACUUCUUCCUCCUGCCCCUUACCCCCCUGUGUAUGCAAAUGUAGUCCUUGCCAGUAAUUAGAGCUAGGUUCUGGAGGUAUGCCAGAGGAGUUGUAGGAUAAUUUAAGUAUAGUGGGAAGGCUUUUAAUCCAUGACAAUUUAAUAAACUGGACACUGGUAUAUUCCUGCCAGAGUUGGGUUGUGACAAUGCUGGAAUUCCUGUCCUGUGCCAGGGAGUAACUUGCAUGGAGAAACACAAUUGCAGCAACUUCAAGCACAAUAUCAAACAGUCAAAGACUUUUUUUUUUUUUUUUAAUGACUUCUUGAUUCAGGAAUGCUUGUCUUGGUUUUCUGUGUGGCCUGCUCAGCUUUCUCAUAAGACUGGCCAGUAGUAAGUUGUGCAGAGAGGAACCCAGGAAGUGCAUAUGGGCACCUGCUCCAUGCCCUGUGCUUCAGAGGAUGUCUGAGGCAGUAUCUAGGCUUUGAUUGGGAUCAAAGGCAGAAGAACAGACUGAGUCCCCCCAAGAUGCUGACUAUGGACAAAGAGAGCUUGACCCUUGUGAUCUUUGAGCUUUAUACUGAGCGUGACACAUAUGCAAAGGAAUACUUUGGUCAAUUUUGGGACACCUGUCCCAUCUGCUUCCCCCCACAGGAAGGUUGCAGGUGAUAUGUGAAGACUUGGACAUUGGAAUUGUAGAUUAAACAUGCACAAAUCAAACUGAAGAGGUUUUUUUGUUCAGUAUGGGUCCUGAUCUCUCUCCUCAGAUAUCCUGCUGUAUUGCAAAACUUCAAUUUGAGAAAGUUUUAAAAGUAGAAUGUCUCUAUAAUUGCAUGUGUUUGUGUGAAGAAUGCAUUGCCUGGAAAAUGUCCACUAUACUUCCAUUGGACCUGAACCUACUUUUCACCAUCUGAAACAUGGUAAUGAUACUGCAUUUUUAAGGGAGCUUAUCCUACUUAAUUCAGAAGAACAAAUUAAUUGGAGUUUCCAUUGUUUCGUUAGUCUGAAGCUUAAGUUCAAACCUUUGGAGCCAGUUACUUCUACUACAAACAUAACUGCAUUUGAACUUGCUAGUCAGUCAACUAUUCACUACCAGCUGUCUCUUAUGGUAACCUUGUGCUAACUUGGUUGCACUGUUUGAAUUAAGCACUGGGCUGUCUUUUCCAUUGUGUAUGUACAACUGUAAAAAUGUCAAGUUAUGCAUUGUUGUUGUAACUUAAUGGCUAAAAGCUCAAAUUCCUUAAUAAAUUAUACAGAACUUUUAAAAGUGAUGUCUUA